rnacentral:rRNA from 1 species
AUGAAGCUGGAGUCGCUAGUAAUCGCAGGUCAGCAUACUGCGGUGAAUACGUUCCCGGGUCUUGUACACACCGCCCGUCACACCAUGGGAGCCGGAAAUGCCCGAAGCCAGUGACCCAACCUUAGGGAGGGAGCUGUCGAAGGUGGAGCCGGUAACUGGGGUGAAGUCGUAACAAGGUAGC